CAAGCGUUUCAAAACUCUUAAAUUCUUUUUAAGUUCAAUUUACCAGCUCUUAGAUCAUGGAAUCUUCACCCACGUGUUCCCCGUGGCCCCUCCCCAGUGUUAAGAAGUUAAAAGGAUCUCGGGCCAUAA